rnacentral:rRNA from 1 species
AUAGAAUGCUAGUCGAGCGCCUUCUAGCCAAAAGGAGGCGCGGCGCACAGCUCAGUAGCACGUGGCUAACCUGCCCUUGGGAUAGGAACAACCCCGGGAAACUGGGGCUAAUUCCCAAUAGGUGAAGAACUCUGGAAUGAGUCUUCGCCAGAAAGGACUCCUACACUAUGCUUGUAGGUUUCGCCCAAGGAUGGGGCCGCGACCGAUCAGGUUGUUGGUGAGGUAAUGGCUCACCAAGCCUUUUACCGGUGCGGGCCGUGGGAGCGGAAGCCCGGAGAUGGGCACUGAGACAAGGGCCCAGGCCCUACGGGGCGCAGCAGUCGCGAAAACUUUGCAAUAAGCGCAAGCUUGACAGGGCUAUCCCGAGUGCCAUCCGCUGAGGAAGGCUUUUACCCAGUCUAGAACGCUGGGGGAAUAAGGAGAGGGCAAGUCUGGUGUCAGCCGCCGCGGUAAUACCAGCUCUCCGAGUGGUGUGGAUGUUUAUUGGGCCUAAAGCAUCCGUAGCUGGCUAGGUUAGUCCCCUGUUAAAUCCACCGAAUUAAUCGUUGGAUUGCGGGGGAUACUGCUUGGCUAGGGGACGAGAGAGGCAGACGGUAUUUUCGGGGUAGGGGUGAAAUCCUAUAAUCCCGGGAAGACCACCAGUGGCGAAGGCUGUCUGCUAGAACGCGCCCGACGGUGAGGGAUGAAAGCUGGGGGAGCGAACCGGAUUAGAUACCCGGGUAGUCCCAGCUGUAAACGAUGCAGGCUAGGUGUUUGGACGGCCACGUGCCGUUCUAGUGCCGCAGGGNAAGCUGUUAAGCCUGCCGCCUGGGGAGUACGAUCGCAAGAUUGAAACUUAAAGGAAUUGGCGGGGGAGCACAAGGGCG